rnacentral:rRNA from 1 species
UACAGAGGGUGCAAGCGUUGUUCGGAAUUAUUGGGCGUAAAGGGCGCGUAGGCGGCGUUGUAAGUCUGUAGUGAAAUCUCUGGGCUCAACUCAGAGUCUGCUAUAGAAACUGCAGUGCUGGAGUGUGGGAGAGGUGAGUGGAAUUCCCGGUAUAGCGGUGAAAUGCGUAGAUAUCAAGUGGAACACCAGUGGCGAAGGCGAGUCUCUGGACAUUUCCUGACGCUGAGGCGCGAAAGCCAGGGGAGCAAACGGG